GACGAACGCUGACGGCGUGCUUUAGACAUGCAAGUCGAACGAGAGAGCCCUUCGGGGUUAGUAAAGUGGCGAACGGGUGAGUAACACGUGGGCAAUCUGCCCUUCGUUGGGGGACAACCGGGGGAAACCCCGGCUAAUACCCCGUAAGCUUGUCGGGUCGCAUGGCCUGACAAGGAGAGGUAGCUUCGGCCAUCCGGCGAAGGAGGAGCCCGCGGUACAUUAGCUAGUUGGUGAGGUAAAGGCCCACCAAGGCGACGAUGUAUAGCUGGUCUGAGAGGAUGAUCAGCCACACUGGGACUGAGACACGGCCCAGACUCCUACGGGAGGCAGCAGACGGGAAUCUUGCACAAUGGGCGAAAGCCUGAUGCAGCAACGCCGUGUGAGCGACGAAGGCCCUAGGGUCGUAAAGCUCUGUUGUUAGGGACGAAGGGCGAAGGGUUAAUAGCCCUUAGCCUGACGGUACCUUUCGAGGAAGCCCCGGCUAACUACGUGCCAGCCGCCGCCGUAA
rnacentral:rRNA from 1 species